GACGAACGCUGGCGGCGUGCUUAACACAUGCAAGUCGAACGGAAAGGCCCUGCUUGCAGGGUACUCGAGUGGCGAACGGGUGAGUAACACGUGGGUGAUCUGCCCUGCACUUCGGGAUAAGCCUGGGAAACUGGGUCUAAUACCGGAUAUGACCUUCCGUGUAGUGUGGGGGGUGGAAAGAUUUAUCGGUGUGGGAUGAGCCCGCGGCCUAUCAGCUUGUUGGUGGGGUAAUGGCCUACCAAGGCGUCGACGGGUAGCCGGCCUGAGAGGGUGGACGGCCACAUUGGGACUGAGGUACGGCCCAGACUCCUACGGGAGGCAGCAGUGGGGAAUAUUGCACAAUGGGCGGAAGCCUGAUGCAGCGACGCCGCGUGGGGGAUGACGGCCUUCGGGUUGUAAACCUCUUUCGACAGGGACGAAGCUUCGGUGACGGUACCUGUAUAAGAAGCACCGGCUAACUACGUG
rnacentral:rRNA from 1 species